rnacentral:lncRNA from 1 species
GUCAGUAAAAUUAUGGAUGGUUGGAAAUAAAUUAAGAAGCAUGUAAUAAUUUUUUCAGAAUUUAAAAAUGCAGAAAAGUCUUUUUAGACCAACUAAAACAAAGGAGAAAAGAUAAAAUGCUUAAAAAAUAGAAAAUCAGAUAAAUAAAAUGUGAAAAAAUAAAAAUCAGAUGAAGAAAAAUAAAAGAGAAUUUUAGAAAUUAUUUUGGGAUUUUUUGGAUGUAA